CACCAAGCUUUGCCCAGUUGCUGGGGAAUCUGGCUCUCCUAGAACAAAACAGCUGGCCUCUGUUUGUUUUCCUGUCUCAGUAAGAAAAGAAAAGUGAAUGCUCAGCUCAACUCAACUUGGAGCCGGUCUGUCAAUUUUCUACUGCACAGCAUGGUGACCCAUCAUGGUGGCCAAAAAAAUCCCAAAGCAACAAGAAGCUUGUCUACUUCGCCAAGAAUGUGAGGUCCUACAUCCCCUGUCCCUUCAUGGAAAACCUUCCCUCCACCCUGACACCACUUAAGUUACCAUAAAAUCAUUUCCUCUUGAGUUAUGACCUACAAAUUGAUAAAAUGCAAAAAAAUUAUAAACCCCUAAGGGAUAAAGAAAGCCACAGAAGGGGAGAAGCCAGAGUCCCAGAAUAACUGUGUGAAGGAACAUAGCCACCAGUACAUCACAGCCGAAAUCAACUUUCCUGCUCUGUUCUUUGCAUCAUUAUUUUGGGAUCUAUUGGUUAUUACAACUUACCUUAACUAAUUAAAACAAAAGACAAAGAGACAGGAUUACCAUUUAAAAUACUCUUGGUCUGGUGGAUCAGGCGAUCCAUCACCAUAAAAAGAGUUAAAAUAUGUCAAUUAAUUAACAGUCCAGCUUAGCCUUCCACCUUCACAUCGUCAUGAGGCUUCUCUCUUGAGCUGAAUUUGCCUCCAAUAUUGUUCCCUCUGCACAGAAAAAUAUGUGUUCCUCUUCUGCCUCCCGGACCUAAGUUUCCUUAACACAGCCAAACAGGGCACUGGGCAUCAAUUUCUGAUGCUAAGAAUAUCAAUAAAAGUAUGUAUGCACUUCAUUAAGCACAAAAGCCCUGCAGCUACUGAACUUGGAUUCUCUCCCAUUUGGUGUCUGGUCUUGACUGGUCAGCGCCAUCUUGUUUCAUCUGCCCUAGAGCAGUUUACCUAAACAUGCAGCUUGUUCAAAGACAAACACUAGUUUCCUGCUUUCAGGGGAACAUAUUUUCUAGUUCAACCAUUCCCACCCCACUGGUCUGGACACCUUGGACCUCCACUUUGGAGGACAGACUUAGUUGUAGUCACAUGUAAGUCAGAGGGAAUUAAAUGGCCAAUAAAUGAUAUGGACAUUCCCAGCCCCAGUAGCAAGAAUGGCCCAUUUUCUGAAGUGUUUUGUCUUUGAAGUCAGAGAUUGUUCAUAUCACAAUGUAUAGAGUUAAUAAAGUUGCGCCUCUUGCAUGCACAAUAUUGUGUCUUCACAAUAUGGGUAGGGCACAACUACCCAAGCUUCACCAAAAACACUUAGGAAUCCACAAAAUGACCCACUCUUUCUCUCUAGCUCCUUCGUCAAAAUUUCAGCUCUUCCUGGCCAUAAAACGAAAACUGUCGGUGGUGAAAUUGUUCAGUUUGACUACAGAUUAAUUAAUAACCUAAAAAGUA